AUUGAACGCUGGCGGCAGGCCUAACACAUGCAAGUCGAACGAGUGGCGGACGGGUGAGUAAUGUCUGGGAAACUGCCUGAUGGAGGGGGAUCACUACUGGAAACUGUAGCUAAUACCGCAUACCAUCAGAAGUGCCCAUAUGGGAUUAGCUAGUUGGUGGGGUAACGGCACACCAAGGCGACGAUCCCUAGCUGGUCUGAGAGGAUGACCAGCCACACUGGAACUGAGACACGGUCCAGACUCCUACGGGAGGCAGCAGUGGGGAAUAUUGCACAAUGGGCGCAAUCCUGAUGCAGCCAUGCCGCGUGUAUGAAGAAGGCCUUCGGGUUGUAAAGUACUUUCAGCGGGGAGGCGUUACCCGCAGAAGAAGCACCGGCUAACUCCGUGCCAGCAGCCGCGGUAAUUC
rnacentral:rRNA from 1 species